rnacentral:rRNA from 1 species
CCUACGGGAGGCAGCAGUGAGGAAUAUUGGUCAAUGGACGAGAGUCUGAACCAGCCAAGUCGCGUGAAGGAUGACUGCCCUAAGGGUUGUAAACUUCUUUUAUCUGGGAAUAAAAUGUUCCACGUGUGGGUUUUUGUAUGUACCAUAUGAAUAAGGAUCGGCUAACUCCGUGCCAGCAGCCGCGGUAAUACGGAGGAUCCGAGCGUUAUCCGGAUUUAUUGGGUUUAAAGGGAGCGUAGGUGGAAUGUUAAGUCAGUUGUGAAAGUUUGUGGCUCAACCGUAAAAGAGCAGUUGAAACUGGCAGUCUUGAGUACAGUAGAGGUGGGCGGAAUGCGUGGUGUAGCGGUGAAAUGCUUAGAUAUCACGAAGAACUCCGAUUGCGAAGGCAGUUCACUGGACUGCAACUGACACUGAGGCUCGAAAGUGUGGGUAUCAAACAGGAUUAGAUACCCGAGUAGUC